rnacentral:rRNA from 1 species
AGAUUGAACGCUGGCGGCAUGCCUUACACAUGCAAGUCGAACGGUAACGCGGGGCAACCUGGCGACGAGUGGCGAACGGGUGAGUAAUACAUCGGAACGUGCCCAGUAGUGGGGGAUAGCCCGGCGAAAGCCGGGUUAAUACCGCAUACGACCUAUGGGUGAAAGCGGGGGAUCGCAAGACCUCGCGCUAUUGGAGCGGCCGAUGUCAGAUUAGGUAGUUGGUGAGGUAAAGGCUCACCAAGCCUUCGAUCUGUAGCUGGUCUGAGAGGACGACCAGCCACACUGGGACUGAGACACGGCCCAGACUCCUACGGGAGGCAGCAGUGGGGAAUUUUGGACAAUGGGCGCAAGCCUGAUCCAGCCAUGCCGCGUGCGGGAAGAAGGCCUUCGGGUUGUAAACCGCUUUUGUCAGGGAAGAAACGCUCUGGGCUAAUACCCCGGGGUAAUGACGGUACCUGAAGAAUAAGCACCGGCUAACUACGUGCCAGCAGCCGCGGUAAUACGUAGGGUGCAAGCGUUAAUCGGAAUUACUGGGCGUAAAGCGUGCGCAGGCGGUUAUGCAAGACAGAUGUGAAAUCCCCGGGCUUAACCUGGGAACUGCAUUUGUGACUGCAUAGCUAGAGUGCGGCAGAGGGGGAUGGAAUUCCGCGUGUAGCAGUGAAAUGCGUAGAUAUGCGGAGGAACACCGAUGGCGAAGGCAAUCCCCUGGGCCUGCACUGACGCUCAUGCACGAAAGCGUGGGGAGCAAACAGGAUUAGAUACCCUGGUAGUCCACGCCCUAAACGAUGUCAACUGGUUGUUGGAGGGGUUCCCUUUCAGUAACGAAGCUAACGCGUGAAGUUGACCGCCUGGGGAGUACGGCCGCAAGGUUGAA